rnacentral:sRNA from 4 species
AAUCCUUCCUAUUCGGGAAGGAUGAGAAGCUUCGACCAAGGUUCGAUUCGAGCGUUAGCGAGAAAGCGUUGCCGCAGGCAACGACCCGAAGGGCGAAGCGCGCAGCGCUGAGUAAUCCUUCCCCCACCACCA